GCACUUACCUGGCAGCGGAGAUACCACGAUCAUGUAGGUGGUUUUCCCAGGGCGAGGCUCAUCCAUUGCACACCAGUACUGACCCCUGCAAUUUCACCAAAUGUAGGAAACUCUGCUGCAUGAUUUGUGGCAGUGGGGGACCUCAUUUGCACUCUCCCCUG